rnacentral:tRNA from 1 species
GUCAGAAUGGCCGAGUGGUCUAAGGCGCCAGACUUAACUUCUGGUCCUCGUUUGAGGGCGUGGGUUCGAACCCCACUUCUGACA